GGGCCUGUAGCUCAGUUGGUCAGAGCGGACCGCUCAUAACGGUUUGGUCGGGGGUUCAAGUCCCUCCGGGCCCACCA
rnacentral:tRNA from 1 species